rnacentral:rRNA from 1 species
AGCGGCAGACGGGUGAGUAACACAUGGGAAACCUUCCUCAGAAUGGGGAACAUCUCCGAGAAAUCGGAGCUAAUACCGCAUAAGACCACAGUCCGGCAUCGGACAGGGGUAAAAGCAGUAAUACGUUUUGAGAUGGUCCUGUGUCCUAUCAGCUUGUUGGUGAGGUAACGGCUCACCAAGGCUAUGACGGGUAUCCGGCCUGAAAGGGUGAACGGACACACUGGAACUGAGACACGGUCCAGACUCCUACGGGAGGCAGCAGUGGGGAAUUUUGGACAAUGGGCGCAAGCCUGAUCCAGCGACGCCGCGUGGAGGAUGAAGGCCUUCGGGUUGUAAACUCCUUUUGGAGGGGAAGAAUAAAUUGACGGUACCCUCAGAAAAAGCCACGGCUAACUACGUGCCAGCAGCCGCGGUAAUACGUAGGUGGCGAGCGUUACUCGGAAUUACUAGGCGUAAAGCGUAUGUAGGCUGUCGUAUAAGCCUAUGGUGAAAUUUCCUGGCUCAACUGGGAAGGGACAUAGAUACUGUAUGGCUUGAGUGUUGGAGGGGGGGACGGAAUUCCUGGUGUAGCGGUGAAAUGCGUAGAUAUCAGGAGGAACACCGAUGGCGAAAGCAGUCUCCUGGCCAAAUACUGACGCUGAGGUACGAAAGCUAGGGUAGCAAACAGGAUUAGAUACCCUGGUAGUCCUAGCU